GAUGAACGCUCGCUACAGGCUUAACACAUGCAAGUCGAGGGGCAGCAUGGUCUUAGCUUGCUAAGGCCGAUGGCGACCGGCGCACGGGUGAGUAACACGUAUCCAACCUGCCGUCUACUCUUGGACAGCCUUCUGAAAGGAAGAUUAAUACAAGAUGGCAUCAUGAGUCCGCAUGUUCACAUGAUUAAAGGUAUUCCGGUAGACGAUGGGGAUGCGUUCCAUUAGAUAGUAGGCGGGGUAACGGCCCACCUAGUCUUCGAUGGAUAGGGGUUCUGAGAGGAAGGUCCACCACAUUUGAACUGAGACACGGUCCACACUCCUACGGGAGGCAGCAGUGAGGAAUAUUAGUCAAUGGGCGCAGGCCUGAACCAGCCAAGUAGCGUGAAGGAUGACUGCCCUAUGGGUUGUAAACUUCUUUUAUAAAGGAAUAAAGUCGGGUAUGUAUACCCGUUUGCAUGUACUUUAUGAAUAAGGAUCGGCUAACUCCGUG
rnacentral:rRNA from 1 species